GUCCCCCUCUGGCGGGAGCCCUGGCUGGGGCUGUGGGGGGCGGAGUCCACCGCGUCCCCUCCCACCCUGGGGGACCCCAGAUCAAAAAUCAAACACAGAACACCCCCAGCCUGGGUGUGGGACCCCACGGAGCCCCCUCCCACCUGCACCCCAGCCCAGACUCCGCCCCAGGUCCCUGCUGUCCUGUCUUUACGAAGCUGUUCAUUAAUAAUCGGCUCCAUUUCAAAGUCCAAGGACAUGUCUCCCUUCUGCCCACAAUUGUUACUUAAACUUUCCUUGUUGAAUAUUUUAUACUUUUUCUCCCAAACUUUGGAUUCCUCCCGGCCCCACAAAUCAGUCCUGGUCUGAGGUCGGGCACCCGGGACCGCGGCCCGCGAAGAGCGCGCCUGCCACCUGGUGGCCGUGAGGGGGUGAUGCAGCGGCCGGAAAGGACUUGCCUCUGAAUGCCCAGCGAGGCCCAAGCACAGGACAGGACAGGGCCACGCGGUCCGGCCCAGGGAGGCUGAGCCCAGGACGGUGACAUCGGGCCGACACGCCGGAGGAGGGUCUCCCGGCCGAGCGGCCGCCCUGAAUCUGACUCCCUGUGGAACGCACCCGGCUCUCCUCCCGUUGCUGUCCGUCAGCCAUUCCGCAGACAUUCACGAUCCCAAGGGGCUCCGGGGUUGAGCGUCGACCCAAGAACCUGGAGGUCACCGUCCGAUUCCCCGUCAGGGCACAUGCCCCGGUUGUGGGCUCCAUCGCCAGUAGGGGGCGUGCAGGAGGCGGCCUAUGGAUGAUGUUUCCCUCUCAUCAAUAUUUCUAUCUCUCUAUCCUUCUCCCUUCCUCUCUCUCUAAACAAAAUCAAU